CCUACGGGUGGCAGCAGUCGAGAAUCAUUCACAAUGGGGGAAACCCUGAUGGUGCGACGCCGCGUGGGGGAAUGAAGGUCUUCGGAUUGUAAACCCCUGUCAUGUGGGCGCAAAUUAAAAAGAUAGUACCACAAGAGGAAGCGACGGCUAACUCUGGGCCAGCAGCCGCGGUAAUACAGAGGUCUCAAGCGUUGUUCGGAAUCACUGGGCGUAAGGCGUGCGUAGGCUGUUUCGUAAGUCGUGUGUGAAAGGCGCGGGCUCAACCCGCGGACGGCACAUGAUACUGCGAGACUAGAGUAAUGGAGGGGGAACCGGAAUUCUCGGUGUAGCAGUGAAAUGCGUAGAUAUCGAGAGGAACACUCGUGGCGAAGGCGGGUUCCUGGACAUUAACUGACGCUGAGGCACGAAGGCCAGGGGAGCGAAAGGGAUUAGAUACCCUGGUAGUC
rnacentral:rRNA from 1 species